CCUACGGGGGGCAGCAGUAGGGAAUCUUCCGCAAUGGACGCAAGCCUGAUGCAGCGACGCCGCGUGAGCGAUGAAGGCCUUCGGGUCGUAAAGCUCUGUCCUAAGGGAAGAAUAAUGACGGUACCUUAGGAGGAAGCCACGGCUAACUACGUGCCAGCAGCCGCGGUAAUACGUAGGUGGCAAGCGUUGUCCGGAAUUAUUGGGCGUAAAGCGCGCGCAGGCGGUCCUUUAAGUCUGAUGUGAAAUCUUGCGGCUCAACCGCAAGCGGUCAUUGGAAACUGGGGGACUUGAGUGCAGAAGAGGAAAGCGGAAUUCCACGUGUAGCGGUGAAAUGCGUAGAGAUGUGGAGGAACACCAGUGGCGAAGGCGGCUUUCUGGUCUGUAACUGACGCUGAGGCACGAAAGCGUGGGGAGCGAACAGGAUUAGAUACCCCAGUAGUC
rnacentral:rRNA from 1 species